GUGCCUUACACAUGCAAGUCGAACGGCAGCACGGACUUCGGUCUGGUGGCGAGUGGCGAACGGGUGAGUAAUGUAUCGGAACGUGCCCAGUAGCGGGGGAUAACUACGCGAAAGCGUAGCUAAUACCGCAUACGCCCUACGGGGGAAAGCAGGGGAUCGCAAGACCUUGCACUAUUGGAGCGGCCGAUAUCGGAUUAGCUAGUUGGUGGGGUAACGGCUCACCAAGGCGACGAUCCGUAGCUGGUUUGAGAGGACGACCAGCCACACUGGGACUGAGACACGGCCCAGACUCCUACGGGAGGCAGCAGUGGGGAAUUUUGGACAAUGGGGGAAACCCUGAUCCAGCCAUCCCGCGUGUGCGAUGAAGGCCUUCGGGUUGUAAAGCACUUUUGGCAGGAAAGAAACGUCGCGGGUUAAUACCCCGCGAAACUGACGGUACCUGCAGAAUAAGCACCGGCUAACUACGUGCCAGCA
rnacentral:rRNA from 1 species